AAACACGUAAUCCCUCACUCCCACUGCAUACUCACGCUCUCCUAACCCUUAAUCCUCUUUCUACCUCUGGUCCACCACGAAGCUGCUUCUGGCUUUCCUCCACCGGGAAACCACUUCUCUACAAACCGCGUUUCGUUCACGCAAGAUGUGUUCUGCGAUUUGUUGGAUUUCAAGGUACAAAAGGUGACUACCACUUCUGCAAUACACGUUUCAAGGUGAUUUUUGUUGGAUGAAUUGGCGUUUCCGUUUCCGUGCUGUGUUUUUUACUGGAUCCACGAACUGAUUUUUUACAGGAUGAAAUUCAUUUCUCGGUUCAGUUAGAGGUUCAAAACGUCAACUGAUUUUCUACGGUGUUUUAAUCAUCUGCAACUUGCUUAUGGUUCUGAAAUUUUGCAAGAGUGCAACGCUAUUCCCAGCUAAGUUCUGAAAUCACGUCUACUGAUUUUACUGCUUUGAGAACGAAAUCAGUAUUAAAGUUUUAUAGCAGUUCAGGGAGAUGAUCAAGGAUUACUUCUGUUCCAAUUCCUGUAAGUUGCUUCUUACUCAUCAUCUUAACUCUAGGUAAUUUAUUGUUUGUUACGGUAUUUUAGGAAUUCCUUUUUAACUUUAGUCUGAAUUAAAUAUAGAUUUUUAAACCAUAUAUCAAUCUAGGUUUAAAAAACAGUGAGAAGUGGACUAAUUAGUAUUUCUUUAGUACUUGAAGUGCAGAGUAUAGUAAACACGAUGCAAGAAAAAAGAAAACAGAGAAGAAAAGAAGGACGAGGGAGAUAAAAAGAGAACGAAGAGGUGUGUUUUACGUUUUGAUGUAUCUGAUAACUCUUUUUGCAGCUUUCAUAUGUGUUUCGUUUGGACAGUGCAUGAACCUUGAAAGAAUACUCACAACAUUUAGGAUGUCAGGUCUGGUUGUUGUUAAGUACAUCAGACAACCUAUCAAACUUCUAAACUUAGAUUCAUUAACCUUGUCAGAACCAUCAUCUUUGAUUAGCUUCUCCUUUUGAUUCAUGGGAGUGUUCACAGUUUUGCAAUCUUCCAUCAGAAAUUUCUUGAGUAUUUCCUUUGCAUGUUUUCUUUGACUUAAGAAAACUUCAUCCUGAUUCUGUUUGAUCUCAAUGCCAAGAAAGUAUGACAUAAGACCAAGAUCUGUCAUUUCAAAGACCUUUUUCAUUUCCAGUUUGAACUGGUUGAUUUCUUCAACAUUGCUUCCUGUAACUAACAUGACAUCCACAUAAAGAGAAAUUACCAAAAUAUUUGUACCUUGAUGUUUGACAUACAAUGUGAGUUCAGAUUGGCUUUUAUGAAAGCCAAGGUGCACCAGAUGAUCAUCAACCUUGUUGUACCAGGCUCGUGGAGCUAGCUUUAAUCCAUAUAAAUCCUUUUUCAAAAAGUAGACUUUAUUUUCAUUGCCCUCAUUCACAAAGCCUUCAGGUUGUUCAACAAAAAUUUCUUCUUGCAAAUCUCCAUUUAAGAAUGCAGAUUUAACAUCCAAAUGGUAUACUUUCCAGCUCCUUUGAGCAGCAAGAGCAAGCAAUAAUAUUACAGUGUCAAGCCUGGCAACAGGUGCAAAUGUCUUUGAAUAAUCAACACCAAAAACUUGUGCAUAUCCUUUCACAACAAGUCUUGCUUUGAAUUUGUUGAUAGAACCAUCAGGACUUAGCUUGGUUCUGAAAACCCAUCUUACUCCAAUUAUUUUUCUGUUUAGUCGACCAACCAACUCCCAGGUUUUAUUUUUCUCAAUCAUAGAAAGCUCCUCCUACAUUGCAGCCAUCCAGUGUUGACUGUUUUUUGCAUCGUGAAAUCCUGCAGGCUCACAAACAGCUACAUUGCACCUUUGACAGAUGUCAGACAAUAGUCUUGUUCCUCUGACAGGUGCAUCAUCAACUGUAGCAUCAUCUUCAGAUUCUUCAGUCAUGCUCCCAAGGGUUGAACUGUUUGGAGCAUUUGGACUUUGAUUCACCUUAGUUGAACUUUCCCAAUCCCAUUGUUCAUUUUCAACAAAAUGAACAUCUCUGCUUACAAUCACACGACCAAUUUGUGGCUGAAAAAUUUUGUAAGCUUUGGAUACAGUGCUAUAUCCAACAAAGAUGCUUGCUUAUGCUUUUUUAUCAAGCUUAUCACGCUUGACCUGUGGAAUAUAAGUGAAGCAAAGACAACCAAAUAUUUUGAGAAAUUUUAAAGAAGGUUUGUAGCCAUACCAAGCUUCAUAUGGUGUCAGAUCUUUCAAGGCUUUUGUAGAAAUUCGAUUUUGUAGGAAUACAACAGUGUUUGUUGCCUCCCCCCAUAACCCUUUUGGAAGAUUCUUUUCAUGGAGCAUACACCUUGUCAUCUCCAUAAUGAAUCUGUUCUUCCUUUCACUGACACCAUUCUGUCGAGGAGUAUAUGGUGUUGUUAAUUGAUGUUGAAUUCCAGCUUCUUCACAAAAUUUGUUGAAAGCAUCAGAGGUGUAUUCCUUGCCAUUGUCAGACCUUAUAAUCUGAAUUGAGCAUCCACUUUCAUUUUCAACUCUGGUUUUGAAUUUCCAGAAUAUACUGGGAACCUCUAACUUUUGUUUCAACAUGAAAAUCCAACACAUUCUUGUUAGAUCAUCAAUAAAAAUUAUGUAGUAGAGGUUACCAUUUAAUGAAGGUGUUCUCUGAGGACCACACAAAUCAGUGUGCACCAGUUGCAGCUUUUUCGAGGCUCUCCAAGCUUGUUUAGGGAAAGGUUGUCUGUGUUGCUUCCCAAAAUUGCAGGCAUGACAAGGAGGAAUAUUAUCAUCAAUGUCUGCGAGUCCUUCAACUAGCUUCUUUGAUUGCAUCUGAAACAAUCCUUGAUGAUGAAAGUGCCCAAGUCUUUUGUGCCAAAUCUCAGUGGCACUAGCUCUGGACUUGAAGGCCAUUUGUUCUUUCUCCAUUGGAUUUAAAGCAAAGCUUUUUCCUUUCAUUUUGACAUUGAACAAGUCUUUGCCACUAGCAUCUCUAAUCAAGCACUGUUUAUUCUCAAACAACACUUUAUAGCCUUUAUCGAGUAGGUGGCCAACACUUAAGAGAUUUUGAUCAAUUUUAGGUACAAAUAAAACAUCUGAAACAAAUUUUGUACCUUCAUAGCUUGCUAUAGCUACUGUGCCUUUUUCCCUUGACUUCCAAGAGUUCACCAUUUCCAAUUCUCACUCUCUUAACUUCAGUGUUUUUUAAUUCUUCGAAAAGCUCCUUGUCAUAUGUCAUAUGAUUUGUGCACCCACUGUCAAUCAACCAGCUCUCACUUGAUUCUCUACUUGAGAAACAAGUGACCACGAACAAUUGAUCUUCUUCUUGACCAACAACUUGUGCAUCUACUUCUUGCACCUGACCUUUGACUUUGCAGAUCACAGCUUCAUGUCCAAGUUGAUUGCAUUUGGAGCAUUUUGCAUCGGGUCUUCUCCAACACUUGUAUGGUGGAUGACCUUUCUUCUCACAGUGGCGGCAAGGUGGGUAGGAUUUUUUGGAACCUUCUUCCUUUUUUAAGUUUUUCUUCUUUUUGUACCUGUUGUUGUCUUGAUGCUUGACAGGUAAAGCUCCUUCAAUCACCCCUUCUUGCCUCAUAGACCUUCUUUGCUCUUGUGCUUGUAAAGCAUUCAAGAGCUCUGUAAGAGAGAUUUUUGACAGGUCUUAGGUGUUCUCCAGAGUAGUAAUGGUGGCUUCAAACUUCCCGGGAACAGUGACCUGCAGCUUUUCAACAAUCCUAGAGUCAAUACACACAGAACCAAGUAAUCUCACCUUAUUGGCAAUGCUGAGAAGUCUGUCAGAGUACUCCUUCAUUGACUCAAACUCCUUCCUCUUCUGCAACUCGAAAUCCUGAAUCAAAUUCAGGACUUUCAUUCCACGAAUCCUCUCAUCUCCUGCAAAUUCACCCUUGAGGUAAUCCCAAAUUUCCUUUGUUGUUUUGAGGGACAUUAUUCGUGUGAAGAUCAUUUGAGAUAUAACUGCAAAUAGGCAAGCUUUUUCCUUUGAUUUUAUGGUUUUUUUCUCCUUCUAUGCUUUGAUUUGUGCAACAGUAGGAUUUGCUGGAAGUGGAGGGACUUCGUAAUCUUCUUCUACUGCUUCCCAAAGAUCCAAAGCCUUCAGAUAAGUCUCCAUACGAAUUGCCCACAUUUGAUAAUUGUCUCCAUCAAAGACUGGUGGUGCAACAGCUGAAAAACUUGAUUCUCCUUCCAUUUUGACCUCACAGAUCCCUUAAGAAGAGUGCUUUGAUACCAAUUUGUUAGUUUCAAAACAAAUAAUAUUUGAUUGAUCAAUUGAGAUGAUAUAUUAAAGUUGGAAAGUUGUGCAUUUGUACACAGAAUGAAUAAAGAUUGUUCUAAAAAACAGAAAAUAAAUAUGGUAACAAACCAAUAGUUAAAACAGAAUUAAUUAAUUUUCUAAAAAUCUGGAGACUUAUUCAAUAACAAAAAAAAGCUAACUUGUAGGAUGUUAAACACAUGAUCCUAACAAACAUUCUUAAAUAUCAACUUUUUUUUAAAAGAACUAUAGAAAAGGUUUCAUAAAACCAAUAAAAGAAGAAAGAGUUUGGUUACUGACUUACCACGUCAAAAACAGCCUUAAGUUAACU
rnacentral:lncRNA from 1 species